rnacentral:rRNA from 2 species
UAGAGAGGGUAAGGCUCCCAGUAGACGACUGGGUUGAUAGGCCGGAUAUGGAAGCACGGUAACGUGUGGAGUUGACCGGUACUAAUAGGCCGAGGGCUUGUCCUC